rnacentral:lncRNA from 1 species
GAGCCAGCCCCUGGAAACACGGGGUUAAAAUAUCAGCUGGGUACACUGUGGAAACAGCCUCGUCCCUCCGGCAAAACCCUCAGUGGGUUGCUUACUGGUUAAAAGGAGGAGGACAAACUCCUCCCAUUUCUUUUUUUAACUGCAGACUUUAAGUUGGACUGGAGCAAAAAAAAUCCUCUCAAACUGGAUGCUUUUCUAUGUAAGGUUUUGAAAUGCUAGAGUUAUUUGAGGCAAUUCUUCAGCUGAGUAUUUUGUGAUGGGAUGUAACUGCGCCGAGGUCAAGACGGGCCGCGGCGCUCGCUGGGGAAGGUCUCCUAAGGGCCGCCCGGGAAUGCGCUCUGUUUACCAACUGCUCCACAUGGGAAAAACACAGCUUUCAUUCCAAAAGCCAUGGAAAACUUCUGCUGAUUAAAUCCACGCCCUCUCUCUGGGGAGGAAAACAUAAUAAACACUACCGUCUCAUCAUCCUUUUAUGCGUCGUAUGUUAAUCACCCAGCAAGGGCUCCUGGCUUUUCCCUGUUCGCGUUCGCCCUGUAACUGCGGGGAGGAGUUCUGCUUUGUCUAUAAAAAGCUGCACUUUGGAGAACAUCAUAAACAGAACCAAAUUUAGGAGUCCCUCGCCCAUCGUCUGCCGAGAGAGAAGUCAGAGAGCAACCAUGCUUGGGAUUGGAAAGAAAGUCGCCGAGGAAGCAAUGCAACAAGCUGAAAACGCUGCACAGGUGGCAGUUAACACAGCAGGCCAGACUGUGCAGCAAGUAGUGGAACAGGCGAAGGAUGCUGGUCAGAAAGCUCUUGAUGAAGUCUACAAAGUGGCUGAAACUGGUGAAAAAGCUGUAAAAAAUGUAGCGAAUCAAGCAACUGCCUGGGGGAAAAGCUUUGGACAGUGAAGAUAAUGUAACACUACUGAAAUUUUUGUAAACAAGUUUCUAUUACAUGUACUCUUAAAUAAUAAUAAAAAAAAACCUUACAAUCUACUUGGCUGGUGC